AGUCGAACGAAUGAGACUUUACGCUUGCUAUAUUCAAGUUAGUGGCAAACGUGAGUAACACGUGGGAAUCUACCCAGUAGUACGGAAUAACAGUUGGAAACGAUUGCUACAUACCGUAUAGUAUCGAGAGAUUAAAGAUUUAUCCGCUACUUGGAUGAGCCCGCGUCAGAUUAGGUAGUUGGUGGGGUAAUGGCCUACCAAGCCAAAGAUCUGUAGCUGGUCUGAAAGGAUGAUCAGCCACACUGGAACUGCGACACGGUCCAGACUCCUACGGGAGGCAGCAGUGAGGAAUAUUGGACAAUGGGCGACAAGCCUGAUCCAGCAAUACCGCGUGAGUGAAGAAGUGCCUACGAGUUGUACAGCUCUUACAACAGGGAACCCUCCAGAAUGGUACCUUGCAAAAGACAGUUCCGGCCUACAUCCGGUGCCAAACAGCCGCGGAAAAUACGCGCAGGGAAC
rnacentral:rRNA from 1 species